rnacentral:lncRNA from 1 species
GAACAGAACGUUGAACAGCUCCGGGAGCAGUUUUGUAUCCCGGAGUAGUUUCAACUUUUCACCCUUGGGGCCGAUGGUCGGAUAAACAAUCCGCCAUUGGGUCAGGUGGCCUUCUACUUCAAAGAUCUUCGGACGGAUCUUCAAUUUUCGAUUUCAAAAUUUGUCCAAAAUAUUUUGGAUUACUAUGGACUUUGUCCGACUCAGUUGGCACU